rnacentral:lncRNA from 1 species
GCCCUUCCCCCACCCAGCACCACGCCGGGCAGAGGCUCCCGACCACCUCGCCGGCCCUCAGCGCCUCGGUUUCCCGCUCCGGGGGCUGCGCAUGGGCUCGGGGGGUAGGGGGGACGUCCGAGGCGGCCGGCCACCGGAGACAACGCGCCGCCUCUCGGCUCUCCUGACUCGACUCCUGCAGGGGCGAUAGCGCCUCGGAGCCCCUCCUCUCCCCCCAUUAUGUUCCAAGGCCUCCGAGCCUUCCCCAACUCCUCCACGCUAUCUCCUCAAGGCCGCGCACGCCCCACGCUGCCUCACCGCGGGUCCUCGAACUCAACGAAGGCGAAGGGCGGUCCCCCGCGGCGGUUCUUCAGGUCGAUGUCGCGGAUGGCGCCGUAUUUGUAAAACACGUCCUCGAUGUCCUUGGUUCGGAUAUCCGGAGUGCAGACUGAAACAUUGCUGGAGACUUCCAGAAGGAAGAGCUGAGCUAUGAGCUGGUUUGAAAACUUGGGCCGUGCAGAACCUGAGACUAUCCUUUAGUCCUUCCUGAGCCUGUUUCCCAGAUGAGAUCUGGGGGAGGGCUUCCUGAAAGGUACCUCAGAAUCCUUCCACUCAUCUGUUAUCAGCUGGGAGCUGGUGACCUUCUGGAGUCAGCCUCUGUUGGAGGCAGAUGCAUUGUUCCGGUGGCUGCAGAUGGGGAGUCCUUCAGGCUCAAAAGUAGAAAUCUCUGGUAGAUUUUUUUGGCUUUGAGACAAGCAAGUGGACGCAGAGGAUCUCUUGCAGGGAGAGGUGGUGUUACCCGCUGCGUGGUGGCCAUAUGUGGUCAUUCAUAGUUCUCUACCACAAGUCUCCCGGUGUAUGUCACUUAUUUUCACGUAGCCUAUAACAAAUGUUAAGCCAUCAGACUCUCAGAAUAAAGAGCAAAUACGUAGAAUGAGAAUGUAA